UGCAGUCGAGCGGAACGAGUUAACUGAACCUUCGGGGAACGUUAACGGCGUCGAGCGGCGGACGGGUGAGUAAUGCCUGGGAAAUUGCCCUGAUGUGGGGGAUAACCAUUGGAAACGAUGGCUAAUACCGCAUAAUAGCUUCGGCUCAAAGAGGGGGACCUUCGGGCCUCUCGCGUCAGGAUAUGCCCAGGUGGGAUUAGCUAGUUGGUGAGGUAAUGGCUCACCAAGGCGACGAUCCCUAGCUGGUCUGAGAGGAUGAUCAGCCACACUGGAACUGAGACACGGUCCAGACUCCUACGGGAGGCAGCAGUGGGGAAUAUUGCACAAUGGGCGCAAGCCUGAUGCAGCCAUGCCGCGUGUGUGAAGAAGGCCUUCGGGUUGUAAAGCACUUUCAGUCGUGAGGAAGGCGGUGUCGUUAAUAGCUGCAUCGUUUGACGUUAGCGACAGAAGAAGCACCGGCUAACUCCGUGCCAGCAGCCGCGGUAAUACGGAGGGUGCGAGCGUUAAUCGGAAUUACUGGGCGUAAAGCGCAUGCAGGUGGUUAGUUAAGUCAGAUGUGAAAGCCCGGGGCUCAACCUCGGAACUGCAUUUGAAACUGGCUGACUAGAGUACUGUAGAGGGGGGUAGAAUUUCAGGUGUAGCGGUGAAAUGCGUAGAGAUCUGAAGGAAUACCGGUGGCGAAGGCGGCCCCCUGGACAGAU
rnacentral:rRNA from 1 species